rnacentral:misc_RNA from 1 species
CGAGUGGUGGAAUUGGACUGUGCCGUUGUUGGCUCGUCCUGAAAUGCAUUAGCCGUGCGUGUCUUGCUUGCGCCUCCCCGGUGUGAUAAUUAUCUACGCCGUCACGAGGACAACUGCUUGGCCGCGGCUCAUAACCGUCUUCGGACAACUUUCAUUAACGCUCUGGCCUCAAAUCAGGUAGGACUACCCGCUGAACUUAA